rfam:Gossypium arboreum cultivar AKA8401 contig_23484_3, whole genome shotgun sequence.
AUCCCAGGAUAAGGACACAUACGAAGUAACUCAUUGAACCGCUCCCAAGCCUUAUACAAAGACUCGUUAUCCAAUUGUUGGAAAGUUGUGAUCUCGUUCCUCAACUU